UACGUAGGGGGCAAGCGUUGUCCGGAUUUAUUGGGCGUAAAGAGCGUGUAGGCGGCCAAGCAGGUCAGCUGUGAAAACUCGAGGCUCAACCUCGAGACGUCGGUUGAAACCGCUUGGCUAGAGUCCGGAAGAGGAGAGUGGAAUUCCUGGUGUAGCGGUGAAAUGCGCAGAUAUCAGGAAGAACACCUAUGGCGAAGGCAGCUCUCUGGGACGGUACUGACGCUGAGACGCGAAAGCGUGGGGAGCGAACAGG
rnacentral:rRNA from 1 species